AAAGUUGGCCUCUUCAACUCUAUUUUUACCCCUUUGUUAUAGUCUCCCCAGAACAAAUCAUUUUCUUCAUCAUCACUCACUCACACUCUCUGUCCCUUUCAUAUUUCUCUCCUAUCUCCCUUAAAGAAAGGCGAGACUUUUGGAGGGGUAAAGUACCACAAAUUUUGAGAGAGAUAAGUAUCACAAACACAACAAAUCUAAGGAGAUUAUUAUCAAAGGAAAAAGGAAGCUUUUCUAUUGUGGGGAAUGUUGUUUGGCUCGAGGAUUCUUCAAUCUUGAUCAAAUUCUUUCUAUUUUUUAUAGAUCUGCAUAUUAAUAUAGAUCUAUAAUAUUGAAUCAUGAUUUUGGUGUCGUCGGACCAGGCUUCAUUCCCCUCAAAGAUUGCUACCGUAAUCCUUGCUCACUCAUCAGACAUUCAGACUAGACCCUAAUUUUCGCGAUUUCUAAUAUUGUUGUGUAUUCAGGGGUAUAAUCUUCAAAUGACUAACAGGCUGAGUUUACCAGAAGAUGGAAACAGAAAGGAGUCUUUUGCUGUAAUGGGAUAUUAUAAAUAGAUGAUGCAUUUUGAAGAUUACUUUUGGUUUGAAGUGUCUUGGCUUUAACAAGUAACUGGAGCUCAUUACUGAUACA